UUUUUAUCGGAUGAUAACUGUCACGUGUCAUGUUCUCUAUUUCAUUUUUCAUGGAGUUGACAUUCAAUCAGAACAUGUUUUGUAUUUCAUUUUUCAUGGAGUUGAUAUUCAAUCAGAACAUGACACGUGACAAUCAUCUAAU
rfam:Glycine max cultivar Williams 82 chromosome 8, whole genome shotgun sequence.